rnacentral:rRNA from 1 species
UCAAGCGAAUAAGGGCAUACGGUGGAUGCCUUGGCACUAAGAGCCGAAGAAGGACGCGGUAAGCUGCGAAAAGCUACGACGAGCUGCAAGCAAGCUGAGACUCGUAGAUAUCCGAAUGGGAAAACCUGUAUGAAGUAAUAUUCAUACAUCCUGUAAUGAAUCCAUAGUUACAGGAAGGCAACCUGGGGAACUGAAACAUCUAAGUACCCAGAGGAAGAGAAAGAAAAAUCGAUUCCCUCAGUAGCGGCGAGCGAAGCGGGAAGAGCCCAAACCAACUCUUUGGAGUUGGGGUUGUAGGACUCUCAGAAUUGAUGGAUGCUUAGUCGAAUGGUCUGGGAAGGCCAAUCAUAGAAGGUAAGAAUCCUGUAGACGAAAAGCAGAAAGAGAGGAGAGUAUCCUGAGUACCACGAGGCACGUGAAAUCUAGUGGGAAGCAGGGGGGCCCACCCCCCAAGGCUAAAUACUCCUUAGUGACCGAUAGAGAACAAGUACCGUGAGGGAAAGGUGAAAAGAACCCCGGGAGGGGAGUGAAAAGAACCUGAAACCGGAUGCUUACAAGCUGUCACAGCACAAUAGUAGUGUAGUGGCGUACUUUUUGUAGAACGGACCUGCGAGUUGCGUUAUGAAGCGAGGUUAAGGUGAGAAGCCGGAGCCGAAGCGAAAGCGAGUCUGAAGAGGGCGAAAGUUUUAUGACGCAGACCCGAAACCGGGUGAUCUACCCAUGAGCAGGAUGAAGCGUUAGUAAAAUAACGUGGAGGUCCGAACCAGGCAUCGUUGAAAAGAUGUUGGAUGACUUGUGGGUAGGGGUGAAAUUCCAAUCGAACUCGGAGAUAGCUGGUUCUCCUCGAAAUAGCUUUAGGGCUAGCCUUAAUUAGAUAACUUAUGGAGGUAGAGCACUGAAUGGACUAGGGGGCUUCACCGCCUACCGAAUCUUAUCAAACUGCGAAUGCCAUAAGUAAUAGAUUAGGAGUCAGACUGUGGGGGAUAAGCUUCAUGGUCAAAAGGGAAACAGCCCAGACCGCCAGUUAAGGUCCCAAAAUAAUGAUUAAGUGGAAAACGAUGUGAAAUCGCUCAGACAACCAGGAUGUUGGCUCAGAAGCAGCCAUCAUUUAAAGAGUGCGUAAUAGCUCACUGGUCCAGGGGUUUUGCGCGGAAAAUGUAACGGGGCUCAAAUCAUUUACCGAAGCUGCGGAAUGUGUGAGAGCACAUUGGUAGAGGAGCGUUCUUAACACGGAGAAGGCAUACCGGAAGGAGUGCUGGAGAGUUAAGAAGUGAGAAUGCAGGUAUAAGUAUGCGAAAAGGCAGGUGAGAAUCCUGCCCGCCGAAAAUCUAAGGAUUCCUGGGGAAGGCUCGUCCGCCCAGGGUAAGUCGGGACCUAAGGCGAGGCCGAAAGGCGUAGUUGAUGGAAAACUGGUAGAUAUUCCAGUACCACCUGAUAUUGCAUGAGAGAAGUAGUGACGCAGAAGGAUAGGCAGAGCGCCCAGUUGGUGAGGCGUUUAAGUAAGUAGGGUAUCAGAUAGGGAAAGCCGUCUGAUGUAGAGCCUGAGAUACGAAUACGAGGGAAAAAUAGUACCGAAGUCGCUGAUUCCCGGCUGCCAAGAAAAGCUGCUAUCGAGAUAGAGGGUGCCCGUACCGCAAACCGACACAGGUAGAUGGGGUGAGAAACCUAAGGCGCGCGAGAAAACUCUUGUUAAGGAACUCGGCAAAAUGAACCCGUAACUUCGGGAGAAGGGUUGCUUAUCAUGGUGAAGGUUGAACGACUGGAGCUGAGAUAAGUCGCAGAGAAAAGGUCCAGGCGACUGUUUAGCAAAAACACAGGUCAUUGCAAAAGUGAAAGCUGAAGUAUAAUGGCUGACGCCUGCCCGGUGCUGGAAGGUUAAGGGGAAGAGUGAGAGCUUUGAACCGAAGCCCCAGUAAACGGCGGCCGUAACUAUAACGGUCCUAAGGUAGCGAAAUUCCUUGUCGGGUAAGUUCCG